CAGAUGGAGACAAAAAUAUUGAUCUUUAUUCAGCUGUGGCCUCUUCAUCCUUCAGCAGUCAGCAAAAUAUUGGGCUGUAUCUUGAGCAGAGGGCUGCUGCCUGGCCUUGCCCACUGCCAAAACGCUGCAGUCAAGCUAUGCAUGAGGUAGAGGACUUCAGAGAAGAAUGGUAGAAGUUGGGUUUCUGGAACAGGACCCAUCAUAUUUGCAAGGAAACGAGAAGAGCAAGGCCCAAAUUUGGCUGAAGAUGCUUGGUGCUACUACAGGAUAAAUGUAUGUUGUUAAUCAUUAAGAAGGCUUCUGACCCAACAGACUGUAGCCUCAAAGAAUCUCAUUCAAACUGUUGGAUUUUCAUAUCUACAGUGGUAGCAAACCUCCUCAAUGCUGGGCUCUGAGCUGCCACAUGAAAUUUGUCCCUUGACACUGUAUUUUUAAACUUAUUUUAAUAGCUUUUCUUAUGCAGAUGUUUUUGAGUUGCACAAUCCCCUGCUGCUUUAUCUAUUCACAUCUUUGAGUUUUGUCACAAGGUGAUAAUGUGGGGAUUCAGUGGAGCUGGCAAAUUCAUAGAUCACUUCAGGUCACACAGUUGUGCUUUGGUUUCUUGGUUAAAUACUUUGUAGCUGUGAAUUGUAACCCAGUGUGUACGUUUUUAAUUAAAAAAAAGAGAUUAUUACAAAC
rnacentral:lncRNA from 1 species